AAGACUAUAGACCUGCGGAGUACCUGCGGAGGGAUCAUUAUCGUAUUGUAACAAUUGGGGGGGCCACCGUGGGCUGCCGCUGACCCUUUGAAAGGGGGGUCGUGCACGCCCCCAUAGUGUCAUCCUCAUACAAUCCAACUCACCUCUGUGCAUCACCGCGUGGGUUCCUUUCUGGGUCGAGUCAGACUGGCUCAGAAAAAAGGGGCUUGCGUUUUCCAUACAAAUACCCUUAUAAAUCCA
rnacentral:misc_RNA from 1 species